rnacentral:lncRNA from 1 species
GCAGCCUCCGCGGGAGCAUGCCGCCUCCCGCAGGGCCCGCCGCGAGCUUCCGGGGCCCAAGGAACCAGUCCGGAGGGGCGCAGGCGGUGGUCGCAGCGUCCCCCUAAAUGGCCGGCCACGAACCCGUCUCACGGUCCCGCGGCCAGGAGCCGCCGCUCAUCUGUCUCUGCAGCCACCGCUGAGGAAGAGUCUCCUCUGAGGGGAGAGUCGGUCAUGGCAGCAGACGCCGGGAUGGCUCCGCGACUGCUACACCAGGCACUCCUGGGCCCGGGCAGCAGACCAGUCAGCCCUGUGGCUCCUCGGCGACCUCCAGCGGGCGCCCGGGGCCGGGAUGCAGGGCGCGCGGACAGAAACGAGACAGACAGCUCAGGCCCAGCAGCACGCAAGCUCCCGCGCCUUCCGCGACUGCCACACGCGCGGCGCGCGCGCACCCUACUUUUUCUCCGCCACCUGGGCCGUGAUUGGGCGCGACCUGGGCUCCUGGGUGCUCAUUGGCGCCGUGAAGUGCUCGUCACCGCCCCCUCCUGCCCCUUCAUGCAUGCGCGGAGGCCGCCUGCUAGCAAGGUUCCCACGUAACAUCACAUCAGACCCAAGGGCCCGUUCAUUGCAAGGCGAAGGAGGCAUGACAAUGGCACGUGACCAUGGGAUCACUGGUCCUGUCACAUUCUGCACCACCCAGAAGAUACUGGCUUGAACGAAGAGAAGAAAUGGGCUGUUGAAGGCGUAGCUGAGAUGCCAGCUCAGAGACGAUGAUACCAAGUGCUGAACCUGAGAGCAGCCCCAGUACACUCCCUGCAUGGGAAUCUCCAUCUCAAAGUCAGCCUCCAGGGAGCCCGCCCUGAAACAGAUUCUGUCAUGGAACUCAACAGAGUAUCCUGGUGCGGAUAACCAGUGUUGGGAGUUAGAGCACGGACUCUCUCCACCUGCACGGUGCUGGAGCUCUGCACACCCCCUCUGCAGCCAUCCCUCGCCGCUGUCCCUUAGCUGACGCCCUUGCCCUCUGUGUGUCCUUCCUCAUGGCCUGCAGGUUUCAGAUCCCAAGCUACAGAUCAUGUCUUCUAGUCUGGGCUCUGGCAGAGAGUUCGGAAGCACUCUUAUUAUCUUAGCAGCAGCAUGUGUGGAAAUCAUUUCUCAUUACAGCGGAGGGCAGGCAUUGUGCAGAGGGUUAAGUGGGCCUGCUUGAAGUUGGUUGUUGUUAGCUCUCAUGUCUAUGCCUUGGUCCCUUUCCCCUCAGGACUUGGAGAGCAAGCUGUUUGAGUCUGAUGCAACCCCUGGGCUUUGACUAUCAUGCCAAAAGGCAGCAAAUAAGUGCCUUUUCUUCCCUUCAGAAUACAUGGACAAUCCAAAGCUCUAUUAGUCUAUUAUUCAGAAUGAAAAGUGUUUACAAUAUUCGUCCUCUUACUCCUCAGUAUGUGAGACUGUUCCUCGUAGCAGGUAAUUUCUUCCGAAUUCAAAAACUCCUCAUGGAAGCAUCUGUUUUUGUCAUCAAGGAGGGGGCUGUAUGUGGAAUUGCAAGGCCAAAGACAUCUCGGGUCAACUCUUCUCAGGACCAGAUCCAAGUCGCCAGUGAGAACACACAUUCAGGCAGCCUCCACCAGCGCCCUGCCUCAGGAGCGAGGCUCCCUGCUUCAUGUGGGCAAGAGCUGCCCUUGUUUUCCCAGCGGGCAGUUGGGGGUCUGGAGCCUAGGAAGCAAAGUGAAGCACACACUCCUGCUUCCUUCCUUCCCUGCAGUUGAGACGGGAGUCUUACUUUGUUGCCCAGGCUGGUCUCAAACUCCUGGCUUCAAGCAAUCCUUCCACUUUGGCCUUCCAAAGUGCUGGGAUUACAGGCAUGAGCCACCAUGCCCAGCCUCCUUCUCUUACUAGCUGAGAACUAAGAGAAGACACUCUGGAGACAGAGGAGGAAACAGUGACGAUGCCACAUGAUGAAUACAUAAUGGAGGGUGAAGACAAGGCUCCGUCAGGGGCACCAAGGAGGGAAACCCAGUUCUGUGGGGAAGGUAUGGGGCAGCUUCACAAGCCCAGUGUCUGCUCCCUUUGUGGGAGACGUGUUGUUUCAGCAUCCAUUCCCCCUUCUUUUAGGAAAAGUGCUUGAAUUUCCUUUUCAUGGAACCACCCACCUCCCUCUCAUCCAUGCAUUCUAUUCCCAGUAUCAGGGGUAGACAAGUGACUUCAGGCUUGGCCAAUUAGGGUUCUGACUCUUGGUCAAAUCAGAGUGAAUCCUGAGUCAUUUGUAAACUCCAAGGAAAGGGCUUGCUUUGUUUUCUGUUGAAUGCAGUGCUCUGAGAUAGCCGGAAAUGAAACUGCUCUCUUGCCACACUGAAGGCUAGAGAAGGGCCUGGCCAGGAAAUGAUGCCAGUGAUCAGGGGUGGAGCUGGAAGAGGGGGAGUGAGGAGGCCCAGACAUCUUGGGAGCCCCAAAUUCACCUCAGGAUUUAACUUCUCCGCUGCUCAGCCAAUAAAUUCCUUUCUUCCAUGACUAAAA